rnacentral:rRNA from 1 species
UACGUAGGGUGCAAGCGUUGUCCGGAAUUACUGGGCGUAAAGAGCUCGUAGGUGGUUUGUCGCGUUGUUCGUGAAAUCUCACGGCUUAACUGUGAGCGUGCGGGCGAUACGGGCAGACUAGAGUACUGCAGGGGGAGACUGGAAUUCCUGGUGUAGCGGUGGAAUGCGCAGAUAUCAGGAGGAACACCGGUGGCGAAGGCGGGGUCUCUGGGCAGUAACUGACGCUGAGGAGCGAAAGCGUGGGGGAGCGAACAGG